rnacentral:rRNA from 1 species
CCGAAUGGGGAAACCCAGUGUGACUCGUCACACUAUCAUUAACUGAAUCCAUAGGUUAAUGAGGCGAACCGGGGGAACUGAAACAUCUAAGUACCCCGAGGAAAAGAAAUCAACCGAGAUUCCCCCAGUAGCGGCGAGCGAACGGGGAGGAGCCCAGAGCCUGAAUCAGCAUGUGUGUUAGUGGAAGCGUCUGGAAAGGCGCGCGAUACAGGGUGACAGCCCCGUACACAAAAGCGCAUGUGCUGUGAGCUCGAUGAGUAGGGCGGGACACGUGGUAUCCUGUCUGAAUAUGGGGGGACCAUCCUCCAAGGCUAAAUACUCCUGACUGACCGAUAGUGAACCAGUACCGUGAGGGAAAGGCGAAAAGAACCCCGGCGAGGGGAGUGAAAAAGAACCUGAAACCGUGUACGUACAAGCAGUGGGAGCCCCACCACUAAGCCAGUGGUGAACUCCACAUACGCAUCCUUUGCUGAGGAUAAGGUUAACGGAGCGAAAGCGACGUUCAACCGCAAAAGAAGCAGAGGGGGCUUAGUGGUGGGGUGACUGCGUACCUUUUGUAUAAUGGGUCAGCGACUUAUAUUCUGUAGCAAGGUUAACCGUAUAGGGGAGCCGCAGGGAAACCGAGUCUUAACCGGGCGUUAAGUUGCAGGGUAUAGACCCGAAACCCGGUGAUCUAGCCAUGGGCAGGUUGAAGGUUGGGUAACACUAACUGGAGGACCGAACCGACUAAUGUUGAAAAAUUAGCGGAUGACCUGUGGCUGGGGGUGAAAGGCCAAUCAAACCGGGAGAUAGCUGGUUCUCCCCGAAAGCUAUUUAGGUAGCGCCUCGUGAAUUCAUCUCCGGGGGUAGAGCACUGUUUCGGCUAGGGGGCCAUCCCGGCUUACCAACCCGAUGCAAACUGCGAAUACCGGAGAAUGUUAUCACGGGAGACA